CCAUGGGGAUGAUCAGCCAGGCGAUCACUGAAAACGACUUUGACUUGAUCGCCGACUCCUUGGAUACUUGCCUCUUACAAUUAGUGAUUUUUUGAUAAGCCGAUUUUUUGUUCUUAUCGGAGUCUGUUACAUCGUACUCACGCGAAGCCGUUGAAGAACCGAAAGAUCAGGAAUACCCAGAAGUAUUGAACGAACGAAGACGCGAUGCCCACGAUGCCGUCCAUCAGCAGCGUAGUGAUUAACACGAUCUUCCUGCCCUUCGUAUCAGCCAGGCAUCCCCAUAUAUACGAUCCAAUUAACAUACCUGCAAAAGUAAUUCAAUCUAAACGAUUUUCUCUGACAGAGAAAGAGAGAGAGAGAGAAAGAGAGAGAGGGAGGAAGUUGGCACCAAGGUACAAGAAACGCGAGAAACACCGACCUAGCAUUGGGGAAGCAGUUAGCCAACCCUUCGCGGUGGAAUCCAUCUCGAGGUCGCAUUGUGCCGCCGGAAGUACGAACGAAAGUAUCGUCACCCCGAUCGCCGUGUCCAUAUAAAUCAAACCGCAGAUGGUCAGCAGCAUGUAGUGAAACCUCCCAAAACCUAAAUACAUUUAUUGAUUUCAAUAAGUCUCACGGAUUGCAAUUAAUAUCAGAAAUCAUCUCGCAAAAAUUCUAAUAUCUUCAGCGAAAGGAUUCGAAGUAAAACUCACCCAUGAUCGCCGCUUAAAUCGCUGGACGCUCUGCAGGUGUUCGCGCGCCGGAAGUUCUCUUUCGUGGACGUGCCGUCG